GAGCCCUUUAAAAGAGAAUCUGGAGAUCAGAGACUUACAGACUCGAAAUAAAUUCUCUUUCUCUCUCUUGCUCUUUUGCUGGCUUUGAAGAAGCAAGAAUUCUACAGCUGCAAGAAAAUGAAUUCUGCCAAUGACCACAUGAACUUGGAAGAGGACCUCAAGCCUCAAACCUCAGAUGAGACCACAGCGCCAGCUGAUAUGUUGACUUGAGGUUUGUGAGACAUUGAGUAGAAGACCCAAUGAAGCCAUGCUCAGACUUGACCCGUAGGAACUGUGAGUGUUAAUGCGACAUUUUAAUGUUUUCAAAGAUCUUUGACCUCAUUUCAUAAUCAGUGAAAAUGAGCGAGGAGGACUUGCAUUGUUCAGAUAAGUCAACCACGGGAGGCUGACUUCUACAGACUGUAUCACCAGAUAUCUUUGCUAUCUGGCUACUAUUUGGGUUUGACCAAUAGGAGGCAUCAGUGGAAACUCAGAGGUUUUUUUUUUUGAGCAAGAUUAACCCUGCGCUAACAUCUGCUGCCAAUCCUCCUCUUUUUGCUGCGGAAGACUGGCUCUGAGCUAACAUUCAUGCCCAUCUUCCUCUACUUUAUAUGUGGGAUGCCUACCAUAGCAUGGCUUGCCAAGUGGUGCCAUGUCCAUACCUGGGAUCCGAACCAGCGAACCCCAGGCCACCGAAGUGGAACAUGAGAACUUAGCUGCUGCACCACCGCUUUAAUUAAAUUCUUUGAUGUGCUGUUUCCUGCCAUGAUCCUGACUGAUAAGAACAAAGUCCUUAGACCACAAGAUGGAAGCAUUGGAUCUUCUUGACUUUGCAGCACAUAUUCUACAUUAUAUUAUGAGACAGGGAACUGGAAGUCAAGUACUGCUCACUCCUUUGAGGAAUCUCUAUGUGCCUUUGUUUUGUUUUCUGUUAGCAAAGUGCCUCUAUUAUGUGAUCUGCACAUCCACAUCCAAGAUUUAGUAUGGUAGCUGGCCAACAGGGGCCUGUUGGUAUAUGAACUUUCUGGUAUUUCUGAGAACAACAGUGACAAGAUACUGUGAGAAAAUGGUCUGAAGUAAUAAAUGAAGUGGACACACCAUUUUCUGAAAAUGGUGAUAUACUCUGAGAACACACGCAGAAAUAAGAGAUAGCCAAGACUCAUACGUCUUAGUUCAGGACACUCUUGAUUAUUGGUGCAGAGGGAAAUUCCUGAUUCUGGCAUAGGUGGGAGUGUCUUAACUCUUUCCCAGUCUCUGUGAAAUAUUUUUCAAGUUGCAAAAAAGAGACUAGGCUGUGAAACAGACAAGGAAGUCUUCCUUUUGCAGUGUAUGAGAAUCAUAACAGCUUGGGAGAAAACUACUUUGAAAUGCCAGCACUGGCUACAGUGAGAAGAGCCAAUAGUAUCGCAGUGGCAUGAAGAGGCCUGUGUGCCAUUUUUGGUAUUUGUGUUAUCAAAAGGAACAGUCAACAAGGGGCAUAAAACAGGCAUAAGCUUGCAAAGAACCAUUACAAAAGGAAGUUCUUCGUGAGUUCUAGUUCUAGGAUCUAUAAUACUGGUUGAGAGAUCAGAUUAAAUAUCAUUAUAAUUACACUUUUGGUGUGGCCUGGGGCUACUGUUAUAGGUAUUGAUUACUAUUAUUGUUUAUUGAGCUACUACUGUGUAUGGCACUUGAUAUACUUUAUUUCAUUAAUGCUAACAACUUUUCAAAGUACCUCCAUGCUCAUUUUACAUAUGAAAGAACUAAAUCUGAGUGAAUUUUGUUAACUCGUCUGUUAUAGACCUAGUAGGUCCUCAAGUCUAGAUUCAAACUUUGUUCUUGCUGAUUUCUAGGAUGGUCAACUCUCAACAUGCUUGCUGACUGAAGGCCCAGUAUUGACCCAUAAUUGUGUUUUAGGGGAAAUUCCUUUUCUUUCACUAUUAAUGCUUUCAUAGGAAUAGGUUUUUAUAUUUUGUUUUUCUUGCUCAUUUCAACUACAUGCAUCUUCCAUCCCAUGUGGUGUGCGGCCAACUACAGAAAGAUUGAGGCCAACUCAUAAAAAGAAAUAGAGCAAAGAAAACAGAAUGAGAAGACCUGGCAAUAGCUUAAUAGCUUUUAGGUCCUAGAUUCAUGCAAAGCUUUGGUUUGGUUUGCAUUGUUUUCUGUUGUUGGUCUAUCUUAUGUUUCUGUCACUUGCAAUAAAAGGAAUGGAACUGGUACAAUGAAGAUCUGGAAAAAUAAUGAUCGUUAUCUUGGGGAUCUGAAUCACUAGCCUAAUGAUGAGCUAAUUAAGCUGGCCUCCUUUUGCUGGUAGACUGGCUUUGAACUCAUGCACUGGUUUUAUUCUUCAGGCAUUUGCUACUUUGUGAGAACAAGUAAACAAAACACAUUUUUCCUUGUCAUUACAAUAAAACACCUACGUUAUGGAUAAGAUGCUUUAAAAUCUCUCUUGAGACUUGGCACUGAACUCCAAUUUGUAAGACUAGAGUUCUUUUUGGAUUUUUCCCAUCUAAAAACCCUUCCUAGGGGAUGACAUUCUGUCCAUGAAAAUCCCAAAC
ensembl:lncRNA